rnacentral:rRNA from 1 species
UACGUAGGGUGCGAGCGUUAAUCGGAAUUACUGGGCGUAAAGCGUGCGCAGGCGGUUCGUUGUGUCGGCGGGGAAAGCCCCGGGCUCAACCUGGGAAUGGCCGUUGAAACUGGCGAACUGGAGUGUGGCAGAGGGGGGUGGAAUUCCGCGUGUAGCAGUGAAAUGCGUAGAGAUGCGGAGGAACACCGAUGGCGAAGGCAGCCCCCUGGGCUAACACUGACGCUCAGGCACGAAAGCGUGGGGAGCAAACAGG